UGGGGAAUCUUGCGCAAUGCGCGAAAGCGUGACGCAGCAACGCCGCGUGGGGGAAGAAGGCCUUCGGGUUGUAAACCCCUUUCAGUUGGGACGAAGCUUCGCCGGUGAAUAGCCGGCUGGAGUGACGGUACCUUCACAAGAAGCCCCGGCUAACUACGUGCCAGCAGCCGCGGUAAUACGUAGGGGGCUAGCGUUGUCCGGAAUCAUUGGGCGUAAAGCGCGUGUAGGCGGCUCGGUAAGUCCGCUGUGAAAGUCGGGGGCUCAACCCUCGGAUGCCGGUGGAUACUGUCGGGCUAGAGUACGGAAGAGGCGAGUGGAAUUCCUGGUGUAGCGGUGAAAUGCGCAGAUAUCAGGAGGAACACCAAUUGCGAAGGCAGCUCGCUGGGACGUUACUGACGCUGAGACGCGAAAGCGUGGGGAGCAAACAGGAUUAGAUACCCCGGUAGUCC
rnacentral:rRNA from 1 species